AUCUUGCAGAUCUUCCUCGUGUUGUUGCUGUGUAUGUGUUUGGAUCAGUCGGUGUUGUGUUACUGAACUCUGUUGCUCUGAUAACUGAACUGAUCCUGAAAACAGUUAAUGGUGAAGGUGCGAUGGGAGACAUGAGGAUCGUCGUCUUCUCCUCUGAAUUCCUCUUCACUUUCAUUCUGAUGGUUUUAAUGGUAUUUGAACCCUGGAUCACACCAUGUCUGCAGUCUUGUCAGAAGGCAAUAAAGUCUCGUCGAGCUGCAGCCGCUGGAUCACAGCAUCAGGAAUCUCAGAAUGCAGCAGCAGAUUCAGCCAGUGGAUCAAACCAGAACCAGAACCAGAACCCAGCAGAAUCACAUGAGAUGAAAGCUCUGCUGGAAAAACAAAACCAGGAGACCGGCAGGAGUGACGGGGCGGAGGAAACCCAGCCGGAGUCAGUGGUUUCACAAACAUAAUCAACAGUCCCAGAAAAACACUCGUGAGGAGCUUUCCUCUGUGAUUUAAGAGUUCAGUCUCAUUCUUCAUUUGUUAUUGAGGCCGUUAUUUAAUGCACGUUUGCUGUAAAUAUAUGCAGGAUGUUUAACUGCCAUUGCACUUGUUCUUGAUAUGCAUGUAAUAGUGAUUUGCUUUUAUAAUUAACUCUAGCUGUAAACCAACUUCAGCAGUAGAAAUGAGACUGAGACUCCUUCAAGAUCAACGGAGAGAAAUCAGUGUUAGUUUUAACUUUAAACACGUCUGUGGAUUGAUGCUCGAGUCUCGAGAUCACAGUUCAGGAUCAUGAUGUCAGUAAAUGUUCACUUCUGUCACUUACAGCCAUCAGAAACACUGAGACUGAACAUCUGCACCUUCAGAUGGCAGCUCAGAUCCUUCAGAGUAAAACAUUGACAAAAAUUGAUUCCAAUUCUGAAAUCGGAUACUUGAGGUCAGGAAUUGGGUACUUGUUGUAAAAUAAAAAUGUAGAUUCUGUCUAUCGACUCCUGUGUGUGCAUGUUCAGAUCUUUUUUAACACGUC
rnacentral:lncRNA from 1 species